AGUGAACGCUGGCGGUAGGCCUAACACAUGCAAGUCGAACGGCAGCACAGUAAGAGCUUGCUCUUACGGGUGGCGAGUGGCGGACGGGUGAGGAAUACAUCGGAAUCUACUUUUUCGUGGGGGAUAACGUAGGGAAACUUACGCUAAUACCGCAUACGACCUACGGGUGAAAGCAGGGGAUCUUCGGACCUUGCGCGAUUGAAUGAGCCGAUGUCGGAUUAGCUAGUUGGCGGGGUAAAGGCCCACCAAGGCGACGAUCCGUAGCUGGUCUGAGAGGAUGAUCAGCCACACUGGAACUGAGACACGGUCCAGACUCCUACGGGAGGCAGCAGUGGGGAAUAUUGGACAACGGGCGCAAGCCUGAUCCAGCCAUACCGCGUGGGUGAAGAAGGCCUUCGGGUUGUAAAGCCCUUUUGUUGGGAAAGAAAAGCAGCAGGUUAAUACCCCGCUGUUCUGACGGUACCCAAAGAAUAAGCACCGACUAACUUCGUG
rnacentral:rRNA from 1 species